CGGGGCGUGGCGCAGCCCGGUUAGCGCACCUGCUUUGGGAGCAGGGGGUCGCAGGUUCGAAUCCUGCCGCCCCGA
rnacentral:tRNA from 1 species